rnacentral:rRNA from 45 species
CGACCCCAGGAUGGGCGGGGUGACCCGCUGAGUUU